UACGGAGGGAGCUAGCGUUGUUCGGAUAUACUGGGCGUAAAGCGCACGUAGGCGGCGCAGCAAGUCAGGGGUGAAAUCCCGGAGCUCAACUCCGGAACUGCCUUUGAAACUGCAGUGCUAGAAUCCGGGAGAGGUGAGUGGAAUUCCGAGUUGUAGAGGUGAAAUUCGUAGAUAUCAGGAGGAACACCAAUUGCGAAGGCAGC
rnacentral:rRNA from 1 species